CUCUCCUUUUGCAAUUCCUAAUUCUCUCGUCCUCUUAGCCUCAUCUAAAUUCUCUUUUCCAUCGUCCUAUACUCUUUCCAAAACCCUAGAAAUUGGGAAACCUCAUUCCAUUCAAAUUUAGUGGUUAUAAUAUCAUGUAAAUCGUUAUGGUUAAAUUGAUUGAUUUUUGUGUUAUAUUGAGCAUGUUGUGAUGUAUGGUCUUGGUUGGAAUGCAUAUAUGUUUUAGAGUUCUUGUUUUUCUUUCUAUGUUAGGUAUGUUAGGUACUAGGAACGUAAGCUCGUGUUGAAUCGCGAUUUCUAUAAUCCUGAUUCAAGAGAAAGACAUCAGGAAGUCCAGUUUUAAAAAACAUUGAUUUCAGAGCAGAGCCAACAGAGAGAGAAUUAGAAGCGUGAAACAGAAAUAUAAGUUCAAGAAGUUUGAUAUUUUGGUACAAAAUUUAGAAGCAUACACGAUUAAAGACCGGAGAUUCACGUCUUGAGGUUCGUGAGCGUGUGUAAUAUAUCAGAGAUAAGCUUUUAGAGCUUCACGAGCUUCUUUUCUUUCUGGGGGAAAAUUGACCAGACUUCUAAGCGCCACAUGUCUAGGGAGAAGACAGAUAUAAUUUUGAAAGUAGUUGUAAAGCAUUUCUUAAUUGAGAAAGAGGUCACUUCUACUUUGGUAAUGGACUCCUUGCAUAGUGGAUUGAAGGCUCUUGAAGGCCAGACUAAAAACCAAAAAGCUAAAGUGAAAUGGCUGGAUGCUGAAGAAAUACCAGCACCAAUUGUUCAUGUUGAGAAAGACAUGUUUGUACUGGUGGAUUAUGUUUUACUGCUACUUGAAAGGGCUGCAAUAGAACCAUUGCCUCCUAAAGAUGAAAAGUGCCCUCAAAACCGGACAAAGAAUCACUGCGAGCAUGGUGGCGACGGUACUGGUGCGGCCAGCUCCACUCUCCACUCCUUCUUCUUCUUCUGCACCUUCGUCAAACGGUUGAAGCUGUCGUCAUCCAGCUCUCCUUCAUCGACGACAGUAGUUGCUUCUGGCCUGACCGGCAUCGUUGUGAGCUCCCUCCCUUUCUUCAUUCGAUUUUUUCAUCUGGUGGGAGGGGUUUUGCUCUUCCUUCUUCAUUCUUCCCAAAUCUGGUUCCCUAUGAAGGAUCUAGCGAGGCGUGUCACCGCAUUCGGUAUCGGUCAGAGUAAUCGUCGUGCGAUGCAACAUAGGUGGGAAAGUGAAGAUAAAGAUAUCAAAGAAGGAGUUGGCAUAACUUUAUGAGAAGCAACACCCGAGAGCUUCUGCAGAACAAGUUCUGCUUCGCUUGAUAAAAGCCAGAAAUGAUGUUAAAGUAAAGGCCCUGUAUAACGAGCUUAAUCUUAAGAGAUAAGGCGUUUCUAUGGGGUGGAGCAUGGUGGGGGAUAUGAUGCUUGGAGAAAAACUUCAGCUUUAGCUACCCCUUUUGAUUUUGACAAAGCACAAUCCACAAAGCCAAAAGGUCAUUGUGUGGCUGUGCGAGUGACUAGUGAGGACCCCGAUGAUGGCUUUAAGCCUACGAGUGGCAAAGUGCAGGAGCUUAGCUUUAAAAGCAAGCCAAAUGUGUGGGCAUACUUCUCUGUCAAGGUAUUUGAAAAAGGAAGCAUAUCAAAUGAUGGAAAAAAUGAAGAAGUACCAAAUGACGAAGACAAUGAAAAAGUAUCAAAUGAUGAAGACAAUUGAAGAAGUACAAAACUAUAAUUAUUAUUCAUAACA